AUUGAACGCUGGCGGCAGGCCUAACACAUGCAAGUCGAGCGCGAAAGUCUUCGGAUGAGUAAAGCGGCGGACGGGUGAGUAAUGCAUGGGAAUCUGCCUGGUAGUGGGGGACAACGUUUCGAAAGAGACGCUAAUACCGCAUACGCCCUACGGGGGAAAGGGGGGGAUCUUCGGACCUCUCGCUAUCAGAUGAGCCCAUGUCAGAUUAGCUAGUUGGUAGGGUAAAGGCCUACCAAGGCGACGAUCUGUCACUGGUCUGAGAGGAUGAUCAGUCACACUGGAACUGAGAGACGGUCCAGACUCCUACGGGAGGCAGCAGUGGGGAAUAUUGGACAAUGGGGGAAACCCUGAUCCAGCCAUGCCGCGUGUGUGAAGAAGGCCCUAGGGUUGUAAAGCACUUUCAGUGGGGAGAAAGGUUAUUCACCUAAUACGUGAGUAAAUUGAUGCUACCCACAGAAGAAGCACCGGCUAACUCCGUGCCAGCCGCCGCCGUAA
rnacentral:rRNA from 1 species